CCUCUCGCCAACAGCCAGUAUGCUACUGUAAGAGAAGAGAAAGGCCUGUGUUAUCUCUACAUUAAAGUUAUUGAGAGAGCAGCAUUCCCUGCUCGCAUGUGGGAGAAGGUGAAACUUGAUAGAAACUAUGCAAAGGCUUUGGAGCAGAUCGAUGAGAACCUCAUCUACUGGCCGAGGUUCAUCCGACACAAGUGCAAACAGCGCUUGACGAAGAUCACACAGUAUCUCAUUCGAAUCCGCAAACUCACACUCAAACGACAGUGAGACUCUUUCUUAUCUGC